AUUGAACGCUGGCGGCAGGCCUAACACAUGCAAGUCGAGCGGAGUGGCGGACGGGGGAGUAAUGAACAGGAAUCUGCCUGGUAGUGGGGGAUAACGUACGGAAACGGGCGCUAAUACAGCAUACUAGCAGCUGAGCCUAGGUCGGAGUAGCUAGUUGGUGGGGUAAAGGCCUACAAAGGCGACGAUCCGUAACUGGUCUGAGAGGAUGAUCAGUCACACUGUAACUGAGACACGGUCCAGACUCCUACGGGAGGCAGCAGUGGGGAAUAUUGGACAAUGGGCGAAAGCCUGAUCCAGCCAUGCCGCGUGUGUGAAGAAGGUCUUCGGAUUGUAAAGCACUUUAAGUUGGGAGGCGUUACCAGCAGAAUAAGCACCGGCUAACUUCGUGCCAGCAGCCGCGGUAAUUC
rnacentral:rRNA from 1 species